rnacentral:misc_RNA from 1 species
GAUGAAGAACGUAGCGAAAUGCGAUACGUAAUGUGAAUUGCAAAUUCAGUGAAUCAUCGAGUCUUUGAACGCACAUUGCGCCCCCUGGUAUUCCGGGGGGCAUGCCUGUUCGAGCGUCAUUUAAACCUUCAAGCUCAGCUUGGUGUUGGGUGACUGUCCGCCGCCUCCGGGCGGUCGGACUCGCCUCAAAUUGAUUGGCGGCCGGUACUUUGGCUUCGAGCGCAGCAGAAACGCGAACUCGAGGCCGUCGUCCUGGCUCCCAGAAGCUAUCUUCACAAUUUUGACCUCGGAUCAGGUAGGGAUACCCGCUGAACUUAAGCAUAUCAAUAAGCGGAGGA